UACGUAGGGUGCGAGCGUUAAUCGGAAUUACUGGGCGUAAAGCGUGCGCAGGCGGUUUUGUAAGCCCGAUGUGAAAUCCCCGGGCUCAACCUGGGAAUGGCAUUUGGGACUGCAAGGCUGGAGUUUGGCAGAGGAGACUGGAAUUCCUGGUGUAGCAGUGAAAUGCGUAGAUAUCAGGAGGAAUACCGAUGGCGAAGGCAGGUCUCUGGGCUAUAACUGACGCUCAUGCACGAAAGCGUGGGGAGCAAACAGG
rnacentral:rRNA from 1 species